AACGAACGCUGGCGGCAUGCCUAACACAUGCAAGUCGAACGAAGCCUUCGGGCUUAGUGGCGCACGGGUGCGUAACGCGUAGAUAAUGUGCCCUCUUGCGGGGGAUACCGUUUCGAAAGGAACGUUAAUACCGCAUAAAGUCCUUAGGAGGCAUCUCUUAGGGACCAAACUUCCGGGGCGGGAGGAGCAAUCUGCGUACUAUCAGCUAGUUGGUGAGGUAAUGGCUCACCAAGGCUACGACGGUUAACUGGUCUGAGAGGAUGAUCAGUCACACUGGAACUGAGACACGGUCCAGACUCCUACGGGAGGCAGCAGUGAGGAAUAUUGCACAAUGGGCGAAAGCCUGAUGCAGCGACGCCGCGUGGAGGAUGAAGGAUUUCGGUCUGUAAACUCCUGUCAGUAGGGAAGAGAAUGGACGGUACCUACUGAGGAAGCUUCGGCUAACUACGUGCCAGCAGCCGCGGUAAU
rnacentral:rRNA from 1 species